CGGCAACGGAGUGGAGUUGCCAGCAAGAUUGGUGAAAGGAGUCCAGUGAGAUCCACAGAGCUCCCCAAGUCACCAUCCUGGGGGUCUGUCUGGCGUUACCUGCCACCUGAGACUAGUGUGUUUCUAAGCACCCCUUCCACAAACAAAGCAGGUUUUACUCAGUGCUUCAAGCUUCCUAGGCUUGCAGCUGUGGCUCAUUGGCCGCUGGCUGAGCUCUCCUCGCUGAUUUGAGCACUGCAGUACCUUCCCUGCAUGCCCUUCUAUUGCAAAGACAAAUGCAGCUUCUUAACUGAAUUUUUAACCAGACCUAGAAGGAAAACAGAUGUUUGCAUCUUUCUCCCUGCCCCAUUCCUUCCUUUCAGAAUAGCUGGUGCAGAAGUGCUUGUUUAAACC